UUGCUGGUAACGGCAGGGUCUGAAGGAAGCGAUAGGAAGUGAGUGGUACAUAGCGAAAGCGAACCUGAUUCGGCGAUGCGGGAGGGUAAACGUCCGAAAUAGCGUGAAGCCCAAUACUUGGUCAAUCCCGUAUCGUGCUUGAGGAUGCGAUUGCUCACAGGGAGUUCGC
rfam:Desulfotalea psychrophila LSv54, large plasmid